UGCCGGGUCGGAACGCGAUACACUGCC
rnacentral:sRNA from 1 species